CCGUGUUUUCCAGCGCACCGAUGUAGGUAAUCCAUUCCAGGUUUUUUUCAGCUUUUCCCCCCAAAUCCGGUCCGCGUUUUUCAGCACACCUAGCGACCUGUCCAGCAUCCCACUUGUCUGUGCAUGUCCCACUAAGAAUUUAAAGUUAUCGAGCAAAUAUUUCGUGUCACAGUUGAAUUAAUAUAGCCUAAUGUUAACCGCGACCGCGGGUGUACGCGAGACCCUCUUACUGCUCUUAUGCAUGUUGCUGCUGACAGCUUUGCCUGUCUAACGAAUGUUAUCUCCGCGAUUUAAGAUUGUUCGUGUAAUGUAUAGGCAGAGCACGCACUUUAAUUUCCCUAUUUUUACAAUCGGCUAGCCUAACAAACGCAUUUCAUUUAAAAAAGCAACCUGGUCAAUCGCUAACAACUAACACCUAAGCCUACAACUCUACACAUCCAAAAGGGUAGAAGCUUCCAGUAGGCGAUCAUAACUUUUUUACCGUUUAGUCUGUGCAUCGGCGCAGCCUACGACGAUGUGAAUUAGUGACAGCUGUUGUCGCGGUAAACUUAAGCUCCUGUCACUAAAUAGUGUAGAUAAGCCUACGUGCUAUGUUGCUUGAUUUUCUGUAAUAAGCAGCCUGUAGCCUAGGUUACUUCAUACAAACCCAGACCAGUUGUGGCAUCAGUUUCGCUUUUAAAACGCAACAGUGAGAGGCUUUUUAGUGCAGUCUCACUUAUCAUUGAUGAGCACAGGAGCAGGCUGACACCUGAGCAUGUUGAAAUGAUCACCUUUGUGAAUAGAAGAAGAAUCUCCCCAUCAUGCUCAGACUGCAGCCAGGGCAAACAGUAGAAAUUGAAGAGAGUAUGGAGAUGGAGCAGUAAAGUGUGGAGAAGAUAGCAAUAAUGUAGAAGGCGUGACAGUUAUUUGGGUUGUUAUAGCCAAUUCAGUGUGUGUGUGGUAAUUUGACUAUUUUCUACUCAGGUUUUGUGUGUGUUGCUUUUAUAUAUAAUUUUAUAU